rnacentral:misc_RNA from 1 species
AACGCACAUUGCGCCCGCCAGCACUCUGGCGGGCAUGCCUGUCCGAGCGUCACUCAUACCCGUCAAGCCGUCGCGCUUGUGUUGGGGCACCGCGGCCGCCGCGGGCCCCCAAAUCGAGCGGCGGGGCCGCCCCCCGCGCCGAGCGCAGUAACACUGCCCGCUACGGCGCGGCGGCGGCGUCCGCCUCAGCGUUUCUGCGAGCUGACCUCGGAUCAGGUAGGAAUACCCGCUGAACUUAA